AUGAGGCUCCGAUCCUGCGGACGUACACGUGGAAAGUAUCGAGUGGCGCGGCAGGGGAGUGCAGUGGAGUUGUGAAAGAGAAGAAAAAGGAGAAAUGUAAGAAAGAGCUGGGAAGGACGCGUGUGGUGGAGAUUGAAGAGGCUGCUGAUAAUGGGGCUGUGGUUUUAAGACAGGUUCGUUAGUGUAUAGGCUGGAUUUGAUCCUCGCUCUCUAUUCAUUCUAAAUGCCAUCUUGGUGCAGGUUUAUGGUCCUAGUACGUAGUUCUUUUUCAUUUCAUUACUUGUCAUCUGAAUCAGAGACCAAUUCUGAGUUAAUAUUUCAUAGUCUCACAUAGUGACCUAUUUAGCAAUGUGGUAAGUAGUAAUGUGGUAUUAGGGGUCUCCAACGGGUGGGCCGGGCCGGGCCGUAAAUAGGAGGCCCGCGGCCCAGCUCAGGCCGGGCCUAUGGGCCCAUUGACUAGUCAACGAGCCGGGCCGGGCCCAUGGGCUUUUUGAAUUAAGCCAAAAUGGCUUUCAAAAAAGCCAAGGGAAGGGGGGAUUCGAACCCCUUCCCUCAUGUUUAAACUUUAAGCUUCUAACCCGUUAAACUAUAUUUUUUUUAUGUUUAUUAAUUGAGUUAGUUAUAUAUAUAUAAAAAUAAAGUAUAUUAUUUUUUUAAAAAAAAAUUAAAGGCUCCAGCCCAUGUGACUGGUGGAGCUAAGCUUCCAACGGUCACAUGACCAAUUAUUUUGAAUUUUGAUUUUUUUUUUUUUAACCUUCCUAUAAAUACAUUUUCUUCCUUUUCAUUUUUUCAUCAAAUUCUCUCUAUUUCUCUCUCAUUGUAAUAUUUCAAAUUCUUUUAUUUUUUCCUCAAAUUAUACAAUAUUGUUGGUGGUGCAAAACAAGCAUUGGUGGCUCCAAGAGUUCAAAUUUGCUAGGAAUUUCUGUAUCGGUUCUCUAAUUAAGUAACAUACUUCACUCCUACUAUAUUUUUUUGUUACAUUUUUUUUUUAUAUUUAUUACUUUAUUAUUUUUGACAUAAUAUUUUAAAUAAUUAUAAUAUGAAAAGUGCUUCUUCGUCUGGUCCAUGUGAUGAAAUAUCAUCAAACAAAAAAUUUACUUCAAAUAUAUGAAAUUUUUUGACAUAAUAGAAAUAAUUUUAGAAAAUAAUAAAAAAGAAAUAAAAGCAAAAUGUAAAAUUUGUAAUAAAUUUCUUACUGGUAGCUCAAAUGCAGGUACAAGUCAUUUAAAAAAACGUCGUGAAAAUUGUAAAACUAAAAAUAAUGUAGAUAUUAGAAAUUAUAUGCAAUUAGGUAAAAAUGAAAGUGAAAAUUUAAAAACAUUUUCUUAUGAUGAAUCUAACUGUCGUGAAGAAAUGAUUGAUUAUAUAAUAAGAGCAGAACAACCUUUCAACAUGAUAGAAACUCAUGAUUUUGUAGGAACAAUUCAACGAGGUAUUAAUCCUCAAUUUAAAGGUUGGUCUGGAAAUACGGUUAAAAGAGAUAUUAUGAAAAAAAUUUAUACACAAAAAGAAAUUUUAAAAAUUUUUUUUGCAAAUUUUGAAGGAAAUAUUUGUUUAACAUCUGAUAUUUGGACAUCUUUAACUCACACUGGUUUUUUAUAUAUAACUGCUCACUACAUUGAUAAUGAAUGGAAAUUAAAUAAAAAAAUAAUUUCAUUUAAAUUAAUAAAUGCUCCACAUAGUGGUAAAAAUAUAACAUCUUUAAUAAAUGAUGUUAAACUAUGUGGAACAUUUAUUAAUUUAAAUGAAAUUAUUCUUUUAUUUAAUUUCCAUUCAUUAUCAAUGUAGUGAGCAGUUAUACAUAAAAAACCAGUGUGAGUUAAAAAUGUCCAAAUAUCAGAUGUUAAACAAAUAUUUCCUUCAAAAUUUGCAAAAAAAAAUUUUAAAAUUUCUUUUUGUGUAUAAAAUUUUUUCAUAAUAUCUCUUUUAACUGUAUUUCCAAACCAACCUUUAAAUUGAGGAUUAAUACCUCGUUGAAUUGUUCCUGCAAAAUCAUGAGUUUCCAUCAUGUUGAAAAGUUGUUCUACUCUUAUUAUAUAAUCAAUCAUUUCUUCACGACAGUUAGAUUCAUCAUAAGAAAAUGUUUUUAAAUUUCUACUUUCAUUUUUACCUAAUUGCAUAUAAUUUCUAAUAUCUACAUUAUUUUUAGUUUUACAAUUUUCAUGAUGUCUUUUUAAAUGACUUAUGCCUGCAUUUGAGCCACCAGUAAGAAAUUUUACAUUUUGCUUUUAUUUCUUUUUUAUUAUUUUCUAAAAUUAUUUCUAUUCUAUCAAAAAAAUUUCAUAUAUUUGAAGUAAAUUUUUUGUUUGAUGAUAUUUCAUCACAUGGAUUAGAUGAAGAAGCACUUGCCAUAUUAUAAUUGUUGAUAAAAUAUUAUGCCAAAAAUAAUAAAGUAAUAAAUAUAAAAAAAAAUGUAACAAAAAAUUAAAGUAGUAGGGGUGAAGUAUGUUACUCAAUUAGAGAACCGAUGCAGAAAUUCCUAGCAAAUUUGAACUCUUGGAGCCACCAAUGCUUAUUUUGCACCACCAAUAAUAUUGUAUAAUUUGAGGGAAAAAUAAAAGAAUUUGAAAUAUUGUAGAAUGUGAGAGAAAUAGAUAGAGAAUUUGAUGAAAAGGAAGAAAAUGUAUUUAUAGGAAGGUUAAAAAAAAUUCAAAAUUCAAAAUAAUUGGCCAUGUGACCGUUGGAGGCUUAGCUCCAACGGUCACAUGGGCUGGAGCUAGGCUCCAAUGGUCACAUGACCGUUGGAGCCUUUACUUUUUUUUAAAAAAAUAAUAUACUUUAUUUAUAUAUAUAUAUAUAUAUAUAUAUAUAUAUAAUUAACUCAAUUAAUAAAUAUAAAAAGAAUGUAGUUAGAAGCUUAAAGUUUAAACAUGAGGGGAGGGGUUCAAAUCCCCCCCUCUCCCUUCCCUUGACUUUUUUGAAAGUCAUAUUUUGGCUUAAUUCAAAAAGCUCGUCGGCCCGGCCCGCGGGCUCAUAGGUCGGGCUGCGGGCCUAGCAUUUUAGCAUGGCCCGGCCCGAGUUGGGCCACGGGCCUCCUAUUUACGGUCUGGCCCGCCCGUUGGAGACCCUUAAAAUACUUCCCAUAUUUGUGAAUUUAUCCUUUCCCACCCUUUUAUUUGAAGGGUAAUCUUUUUUUGACAUAAAUGUUUUUAACUAUUUCAAGUAUUUACACUAUGUUUUAAAGAAAUAAUCUUUUUUAUAAGAAAAUAAUAAGGGUAUUUAUGUCAAAAUAAGAUGAAAGAUUAGAUUUCAAAAUUGGGUUUUCAAUGAACCUGUCAAUCAAAUAAUCCUUAAAUAAGAAAUAUGGAAAAUACUAUGGUACCCUUUCACCCAACUCUCCCAAUCAACCAUUGAAUGUAUGUGGUGACUGCAAGUACAAACUAAUGAACAAAUGGAACCAUUGUAUAAGGUACAAAACAUGGAUUUCGGGUAUAAUGGAAUGGCACCCGAAGCUGUACACGUGACACCACCUGAUUGGUGAUGCUUUUUUGGUACAUAUUGAAAAGGGUAUCUUUCGAUCCUAUAGUAUGAUCAAACCCGGAGUAUGCUUAUAUCAGUAUCUAUCGAAAAGGCAUCAUCAAUCAGGUAAUGCCACGUGUGCAACUCAGGUCUCAUUGUUUUAUACCCUGAUCUUAUUUGGUUUGCGCCAUACAUGAGGUCCCAUUAUCUUGUAUCUUGGUAUCAUCUAAUGGUACUUUGGUUCCAUUAGUUUGUAUUUGGCCUUGUUCCUUUGUACAUUGGUCCCAUUUAUAUGUACCUUGUUCCAUAUAUUUGUACCUUUGUUCAAUGACUAGAUUUCAUCAUAUAUUUUCAAUGGUUCAUAUUCAAAGUUUGGUGGGUAUUGAAUUGGUACUGUAGUAUUUUCCAUAAGACAAAGUAAUGUGUUGAUGUGAUAAUGUCAUAUUAGUUGUCAGGUGAUAAAAUGGAUGGGGAGCAAAUAAAAAUGCACAAUUGAUUUGGUUAAAGGGUUAUAUUUUUCAUAUUCUUGUGUAGAAUCCUCAAUGGUCAUUAAAUUUGGCUCUCAACAUGGAAUAAUGGGUGAUAUGAUUGUGUUACUUCCAAAGAUAUGUAGAUUAUUUAGUUCCUUUUGGCGACUUCCAAUGCUGUGUGGAUUCCUUACUGCUUUUUUGUGACCAUACGUCAUUUGUCUUUCCUUUAUUUGAAAUACAAAUUAAUAUAUGCCAAGAAGAAGAAGCAUAAAAUGUGAAAACGUGAAGAAUUGCAACAAAUGUUUGUUCAACUUAUAUAAUUACUUGUAAAAGAAUCAGCUUGAUUAAAUGAGUUUUAGCUAUUCAAUUUUAGUUAAAUAUUUAGACCAUACGUCAUUUGUCUUUCCUUUAUUUGAAAUACAAAUUAAUAUAUGCCAAGAAGCAUAAAAUGUGAAAACGUGAAGAAUUGCAACAAAUGUUUGUUCAACUUAUAUAAUUACUUGUAAAGGAAUCAGCUUGAUUAAAUGAGUUUUAGCUAUUCAAUUUUAGUUAAAUAUUUAGAACAAGCUGUAGAAUCUUGAAGAAUCAUGCUAAGUGUUUGUCACAUACCCUCAAGUGGGCUUUGUAUUAGCUUGGUUGAAUGACUUUUGGUUGUUAGUUUAUCAUAAUCUUAUUUUCUUUUUAAAAUUCUACGGCACCAAUAAGAAUUUGAUUGUAAUUGAAUGGCUAAAACGUAUCCAAUUAGGAUGACUUUCUUUCUAUUGAUUAGUUGCCCUGUCAUAUGCUGGCUCCAAAUUAUUAAUUGCUAACAUAGCCUGACAACUAAGAACCAUACAAGAGGAGAUGAAACUCAACUUUAGCUAUUUGGAAUUAAGGUCCUCUCCUGAAAAUUCUCACUAGUUAGUGGCCAUUGAAUCCUACCUUGGCAUCCUAGGAAGAGUUAAUAAGAACUGUUUCCUCACAUAUAAACUAAUGUAAUAGACAUUAGAUUGAUUACAUGGGUUGCUAUUCAAUUUUGGUAAAAUAUGUUCAUGAGCUUGGAAAAUUAUGAAAAAACUAAAAAUUAAGCUUAUAUUUUCUGAACUAGAAGCUAAUCAUGUCAAGCAGCUCCUUUUAAUUCUUUUUUUUCUCAAUUAAAUGGGGGUACAUCAAAUGGUUGGUGCUUGUCCUUCUGAUGCUGACAUAGCAAAAUUUGAGACUUUUGAGGACUAUGAGUGAGGAGAUGAACUCUACAACUUCAAUAUGCUGAGGCCUUGUUUUCUGUUGUGGUUUGGAGGAAGGCCU
rnacentral:lncRNA from 1 species